rnacentral:rRNA from 1 species
UAUAAGCAUUAUACGGCGAAACUGCGAAUGGCUCAUUAUAUAAGUUAUCGUUUAUUUGAUAGCACAUUACUACUUGGAUAACCGUGGUAAUUCUAGAGCUAAUACAUGCUAAAAAUCCCGACUUCGGAAGGGAUGUAUUUAUUAGAUUAAAAGCCAAUGCCCUCUGGGCUCUCUGGUGAAUCAUGAUAACUGCUCGAAUCGCAGGGCCUCGUGCCGGCGAUGGUUCAUUCAAAUUUCUUCCCUAUCAACUUUCGAUGUUUGGGUAUUGGCCAAACAUGGUUACAACGGGUAACGGAGGGUUAGGGCUCGACCCCGGAGAAGGAGCCUGAGAAACGGCUACUACAUCCAAGGAAGGCAGCAGGCGCGCAAAUUACCCAAUCCCGACACGGGGAGGUAGUGACAAUAAAUACUGAUACAGGGCUCUUUCGGGUCUUGUAAUUGGAAUGAGUACAAUUUAAAUCCCUUAACGAGGAACAAUUGGAGGGCAAGUCUGGUGAACGUUGCUGGUGCCAGAGAGAGCUACCCCUCUGUGGGCGACGGAAGAUAGCUAGUCGAGCGCUCGAUCAGUGACGGGUGAGCGCCGGCGAGACAACCUGGAUCGGGGAAGGCUAAGGGCCCCAAGCUGGCCUACGCUGAUCCCGAGCAGAGCCCCGCGGCCAGUGUGCCGGGAGGGCCUGUGUAGAGCGCGCCAAGGUGUCGGUCCAGAGGGUUGGCGCGCUCUCCCCCCCCCCCCCAAGGGCUUAAGGUACGUGCCAAUCCCCUGCGAAAGCAGAGCCCUGCGGAAUAGCACCCGUCGUGCGAAGCCGCGGGGGAGGACGCCCUGGGCGAUGGUGCCUGGGUGGCCUGUGACAAUAGUGGCCAGCAGCCGCGGUAAUUCCAGCUCCAAUAGCGUAUAUUAAAGUUGUUGUGGUUAAAAAGCUUGUAGUUGACCCUUGGGCCUGGCUGGCCGGUCCGCCUCACCGCGUGUACUGGUCCGGCCGGGCCUUUCCCUCUGUGGAACCCCAUGCCCUUCACUGGGCGUGGCGGGGAAACAGGACUUUUACUUUGAAAAAAUUAGAGUGCUCCAGGCAGGCCUAUGCUCGAAUACAUUAGCAUGGAAUAAUAGAAUAGGACGUGCGGUUCUAUUUUGUUGGUUUCUAGGACCGCCGUAAUGAUUAAUAGGGACAGUCGGGGGCAUCAGUAUUCAAUUGUCAGAGGUGAAAUUCUUGGAUCUAUUGAAGACUAACUACUGCGAAAGCAUUUGCCAAGGAUGUUUUCAUUAAUCAAGAACGAAAGUUAGGGGAUCGAAGACGAUCAGAUACCGUCGUAGUCCUGACCGUAAACUAUGCCGACUAGGGAUCGGACGAUGUUAUUUUUUGACUCGUUCGGCACCUUACGAGAAAUCAAAGUG